UGGGGAAUUUUGGACAAUGGGGGCAACCCUGAUCCAGCAAUGCCGCGUGUGUGAAGAAGGCCUUCGGGUUGUAAAGCACUUUUGUCCGGAAAGAAAACGCCGUGGUUAAUACCCGUGGCGGAUGACGGUACCGGGAGAAUAAGCACCGGCUAACUACGUGCCAGCAGCCGCGGUAAUACGUAGGGUGCAAGCGUUAAUCGGAAUUACUGGGCGUAAAGCGUGCGCAGGCGGUCCGCUAAGACAGAUGUGAAAUCCCCGGGCUUAACCUGGGAACUGCAUUUGUGACUGGCGGGCUAGAGUAUGGCAGAGGGGGGUAGAAUUCCACGUGUAGCAGUGAAAUGCGUAGAGAUGUGGAGGAAUACCGAUGGCGAAGGCAGCCCCCUGGGCCAAUACUGACGCUCAUGCACGAAAGCGUGGGGAGCAAACAGGAUUAGAUACCCUGGUAGUCCACGCCCUAAACGAUGUCAACUAGUUGUCGGGUCUUCAUUGACUUGGUAACGUAGCUAACGCGUGAAGUUGACCGCCUGGGGAGUACGGUCGCAAGAUUAAAACUCAAAUGAAUUGACGGGGUC
rnacentral:rRNA from 1 species